rnacentral:lncRNA from 1 species
AUUAGGUUGGAUAGAAAGUCUGAUAAAUGUUAUGAAUUAUAAAACUUUUAAACUAGUAUAAUUUUGCUAGUAUAGUUUCAAGAUAUUUACUAUUUAUUAUAUAAUGUUUUCAUAAAAGCCUGGACAUGCGCAUAUAAAUAAUAGUUCAUUCGAACAUCAAAUACUGUUAAUUAUAUUAUAAUAUCGCAUGAGAUUGUCUUUUUUCGGAAACGGAUUUGUUCACGAAUUUUAAACUGUUCAAGAUAAAAGUGCAUUCUAUACACAUGUAUAAAUUAUUCUACCUAAGGAUCUUCUCUUCUACACAUGUUAAUUUAUUAGUCAUACAUCCGCGAGAUAAGCCUGCAUCGGUUUACACAGUCUUCCUGUAAUUUGAUAUUUGUUGGGAUAAGAUAGAGCAAGUUUAUAAAUACUUUACACAAAGGGAGGGAUCCGCAACAUGGAAAUAUUAACGGAGUUGAAGAAUCAUGCAAAACUGACGAAACUUGAAAGUUUCAAUUAUCGGAUUACUUUUUGGACUUAUUGUAUUUGACUUACGUCGUCAUAAUAUAAAAUAAAGAUGAUAAAAUA